AAUUCGAAGCAACGCGAAGAACCUUACCAGGCCUUGACAUGCAGAGAACUUUCCAGAGAUGGAUUGGUGCCUUCGGGAACUCUGACACAGGUGCUGCAUGGCUGUCGUCAGCUCGUGUCGUGAGAUGUUGGGUUAGGUCCCGUAACGAGCGCAACCCUUGUCCUUAGUUACCAGCACGUUAUGGUGGGCACUCUAAGGAGACUGCCGGUGUUAAACCGGAGGAAGGUGGGGAUGACGUCAAGUCCUCAUGGCCUUUAUGACCAGGGCUACACACGUACUACAAUGGCCGAUACAAAGGGCAGCGACACUGCGAGGUGAAGCCAAUCCCGUAAAAUCGGUCUCAGUCCGGAUUGGAGUCUGCAACUCGACUCCAUGAAGUUGGAAUCGCUAGUAAUCGUGGAUCAGCAUGCCACGGUGAAUACGUUCCCGGGCCUU
rnacentral:rRNA from 1 species